rnacentral:rRNA from 1 species
GAUGAACGCUGGCGGCAUGCCUAAUACAUGCAAGUCGAGCGAACGGACGAGAAGCUUGCUCCUCUGAUGUUAGCGGCGGACGGGUGAGUAACACGUGGAUAACCUACCUAUAAGACUGGGAUAACUUCGGGAAACCGUAGCUAAUACCGGAUAAUAUUUUGAACCGCAUGGUUCAAAAGUGAAAGACGGUCUUGCUGUCACUUAUAGAUGGAUCCGCGCUGCAUUAGCUAGUUGGUAAGGUAACGGCUUACCAAGGCAACGAUGCAUAGCCGACCUGAGAGGGUGAUCUGCCACACUGGAACUGAGACACGGUCCAGACUCCUACGGGAGGCAGCAGUAGGGAAUCUUCCGCAAUGGGCGAAAGCCUGACGGAGCAACGCCGCGUGAGUGAUGAAGGUCUUCGGAUCGUAAAACUCUGUUAUUAGGGAAGAACAUAUGUGUAAGUAACUGUGCACAUCUUGACGGUACCUAAUCAGAAAGCCACGGCUAACUACGUG